UUCUUGAAAGUGUUUCUAUUUUUUUUUUAUUUAAAGAAUACGAUUGAAAACAUCCGAAAACUUGCAACAUUUAUUGGAUUGUCUACAUCUGAAGCAGUUCUGCAAAAAACUGUCGAAAACUCAUCAGCAAAGCGGACAAAAGAAGUCAUGGACAAUAAAACCGAAGCUGCAACACUGACAAAAGUGGGAGAAUUUGUUCGCAAAGGCAUUGUUGGUGAUUGGAAGUCACUUUUUACCGUAUCUCAGAGUGAGACAUAUGAUGAAAUACACAAGAAGUUCCUAAAAGAAACGGGAUUAGUGAUGGACUUUGAAUAACUUUAAACGGUUUCCUUGGCUUGGAGGUUCAGGACUAAAUAUGGAGUUUGAAUAGGCCUAGGCGAUUAUGAGAACCCGACGCGACGAGGUGUGCGUAAUGGAUCGUUUUUAACUAUCCCCUCAGUCUGCAACACCGACAUUCAACAAACGGCGUUGAACCGAGCGCUCACAAAAAACGGAGAAGUAUUUGCAUUGUCGUACAACGCAGUGUGAAUAUAUAUGAAAUGAUUAUUUAAUAUUGAAAACUUAUUAGGUUGAUGAAAACUUUAUUAUGGUAUAAAAAUUAUUAUAAAACAGAUGAAUUUAAAAUAUAUGUAAUUUGCAGUAUUCAUAAUAUAAUAUAUUAUUACUGUUUUAUUAUUAUUAUUAUUAUUAUUAUUAUUAUUAUUAUUAUUAUUAUAUAUAUAUAUAUCUUGUAUUAGCAAUUAUAUUGGCCUACAUUGUUUCUCUGAGAUCUGUAAAGGCAAUUUACUACCACUCGAAAAAAAAAGACGCUUUCGGUGGCCUAUAUUUUUAGUAAAAUUUGGGUAGGGGCCAUGCGACGUGCAAAGCACAUGCAGGUGUGGGGACGUGUUGCUUGAUAUAAACAGUAUAAAUUAGCUUGUUUUGGGGCACUGUACUUCCACCUUUGUCCUUCUUGUUUCUUCCUUUCUGGCUUUCUUUAAGGGGAGUGGGAAGCUGCCAUGGUCUACCCCCACCCCCCACCCACCGGCCCUCUCGAUCCGUUCAGUCUGCACAUAUUUUCACAAAUAUAGUGAUUAACCUUGAUUUUAUGAAAUCGUUUUUAAGAUAUUGUAUUUCACAAUUUUCGUCGUUUGAUUAAAUGUCAAUACCACGCAA